UGGGGAAUAUUGGACAAUGGGCGAAAGCCUGAUCCAGCAAUGCCGCGUGAGUGAAGAAGGCCUUAGGGUUGUAAAACUCUUUCGCCGGUGAAGAUAAUGACGGUAGCCGGAGAAGAAGCCCCGGCUAACUUCGUGCCAGCAGCCGCGGUAAUACGAAGGGGGCUAGCGUUGUUCGGAAUUACUGGGCGUAAAGCGCACGUAGGCGGAUCUGUAAGUAGGGGGUGAAAUCCCAGGGCUCAACCCUGGAACUGCCUUCUAGACUGCAGGUCUUGAGGUCAGGAGAGGCGAGUGGAAUACCGAGUGUAGAGGUGAAAUUCGUAGAUAUUCGGUGGAACACCAGUGGCGAAGGCGACUCGCUGGACUGAUACUGACGCUGAGGUGCGAAAGCGUGGGGAGCAAA
rnacentral:rRNA from 1 species